rnacentral:rRNA from 1 species
AUACGGAGGAUCCGAGCGUUAUCCGGAUUUAUUGGGUUUAAAGGGAGCGUAGGCGGCCUGUUAAGUCAGGGGUGAAAGACGGCAGCUCAACUGUCGCAGUGCCCUUGAUACUGAUGGGCUUGAAUUCAGAUGAGGUAGGCGGAAUGUGACAAGUAGCGGUGAAAUGCAUAGAUAUGUCACGGAACACCGAUUGCGAAGGCAGCUUACUAAACUGCGAUUGACGCUGAGGCUCGAAAGCGUGGGGAUC